UCUGCCUUGUGGUUCAGGACAACAUUGGGGAAAACCCGAUGCUAAUACUGGAUAAGCCGUUACGGGAAAGUUUUAAUGCCAUAAGAUGAGCCCGCAUUUGAUUAGUUAGUUGGUGAGGUAAUGGCUCACCAAGACAAUGAUCAAUAGCUGAUCUGAGAGGAUGAUCAGCCACACUGGGACUGAGACACGGCCCAGACUCCUACGGGAGGCAGCAGUGGGGAAUCUUGCACAAUGGAGGAAACUCUGAUGCAGCGAUGCCGCGUGAGUGAAGAAGGCCUUUGGGUUGUAAAGCUUCUUUUGUAGGGGAAGAUAAUGACUGUACCCUAAGAAUAAGGUCCGGCUAACUUCGUG
rnacentral:rRNA from 1 species